UCUUAGGUAUAAAUUGAUUGGCUAUUUACCAGAGUACUACGAAUAAAACCAUUUAAAACUCAAAGAGCUUGGCGGUGCUUUAGACUUCUCAGGGGAACCUGUCUCGUAAUCGACAGUCCACGAAUCUACCUCACUUUCCUUUGCGUAUCAGUAUGUAUACCGUCGUCGUCAGGUAACUUUUGAAAAUAUAGAAGUUAGCAAGAAAACCUUUAAGUUUUUACGUCAGAUCAAGGUGCAGCCUAUGGGAAAGAGCGGAUGGGUUACAAUUAAUAUUUAUAACUACGGAUAUCAAUCUUGAAUGGUUUAUAUGAAGGCGGACUUGAAAGUAUGAAUUAGUAUAUAAAUUUUGUGAAUUUAGCUCUGAAGCGUG
rnacentral:rRNA from 1 species